AACACUGAAGAAGAAGAGAGUUCGGCUUCGUGUGCAGGAUAAAAAUAAACUGAGGGCGAGUAUAUAGAACUCUGGACGCCAAUAAUAUUAGCGUUCCACGUCCCGUCCCUCUCUGCAAGCUCUCUGCAAGAAUUCGGUGUGUGGAGGUGUGUGGAGGUCUGCACACCAUUGAUAAUGGCGUCCCGCUCUGCAAGAUUUGCUGUGGAGUGACUUGAGCUACUGACGACGUGACCACCUGCAGAGAUUCG
rnacentral:misc_RNA from 1 species